UACGUAGGGUGCGAGCGUUAAUCGGAAUUAUUGGGCGUAAAGCGUGCGCAGGCGGUCUUGUAAGCCAGAUGUGAAAUCCCCGGGCUUAACCUGGGAAUGGCAUUUGGGACUGCAAGGCUGGAGUGCGGCAGAGGAGACUGGAAUUCCUGGUGUAGCAGUGAAAUGCGUAGAUAUCAGGAGGAACACCGAUGGCGAAGGCAGGUCUCUGGGCUGACACUGACGCUCAUGCACGAAAGCGUGGGGAGCAAACAGG
rnacentral:rRNA from 1 species